UACGUAGGGGGCUAGCGUUGUCCGGAAUUACUGGGCGUAAAGAGUGUGUAGGCGGUGCUCUAAGUCUGUUGUGAAAUCUCCCGGCUUAACUGGGAGGGUGCGGCGGAGACUGGAGUGCUAGAGUGUGGGAGAGGUAAGCGGAAUUCCUGGUGUAGCGGUGAAAUGCGUAGAUAUCAGGAGGAACACCUGUGGUGUAGACAGCUUACUGGACCACGACUGACGCUGAGACACGAAAGCGUGGGUAGCAAACAGG
rnacentral:rRNA from 1 species